rnacentral:rRNA from 1 species
CCUACGGGAGACAGCAGUGAGGAAUAUUGGUCAAUGGGCGGGAGCCUGAACCAGCCAAGUCGCGUGAGGGACGACGGUCCUAUGGAUUGUAAACCUCUUUUGUCGGGGAACAAAGGCGCCCACGGGUGGGCGGAUGAGUGUACCCUACGAACAAGCAUCGGCUAACCCCGUGCCAGCAGCCGCGGUAAUACGGAGGAUGCGAGCGUUAUCCGGAUUUAUUGGGUUUAAAGGGUGCCUAGGCGGACGGGCAAGUCAGCGGUAAAAAUGCGGUGCUCAACGCCGUACAGCCGUUGAAACUGGCAGGCUUGAGUGGGCGAGAGGUGGGCGGAAUGCGUGGUGUAGCGGUGAAAUGCAUAGAGAUCACGCAGAAUUCCGAUUGCGAAGGCAGCAUACCGGAGCCCGACUGACGCUGAGGCACGAAAGCGUGGGUAUCGAACAGGAUUAGAUACCCCAGUAGUC